UUGUGAGGUUAAGCGACUAAGCGUACACGGUGGAUGCCCUGGCAGUCAGAGGCGAUGAAGGACGUGCUAAUCUGCGAUAAGCGUCGGUGAGGUGAUAUGAACCGUUAUAACCGGCGAUUUCCGAAUGGGGAAACCCAGUGUGUUUCGACACACUAUCAUUAACUGAAUCCAUAGGUUAAUGAGGCGAACCGGGGGAACUGAAACAUCUAAGUACCCCGAGGAAAAGAAAUCAACCGAGAUUCCCCCAGUAGCGGCGAGCGAACGGGGAGGAGCCCAGAGCCUGAAUCAGUGUGUGUGUUAGUGGAAGCGUCUGGAAAGGCGCGCGAUACAGGGUGACAGCCCCGUACACAAAAAUGCACAUAUUGUGAGCUCGAUGAGUAGGGCGGGACACGUGGUAUCCUGUCUGAAUAUGGGGGGACCAUCCUCCAAGGCUAAAUACUCCUGACUGACCGAUAGUGAACCAGUACCGUGAGGGAAAGGCGAAAAGAACCCCGGCGAGGGGAGUGAAAAAGAACCUGAAACCGUGUACGUACAAGCAGUGGGAGCCUCUUAAUGGGGUGACUGCGUACCUUUUGUAUAAUGGGUCAGCGACUUAUAUUCUGUAGCAAGGUUAACCGAAUAGGGGAGCCGAAGGGAAACCGAGUCUUAACUGGGCGUUAAGUUGCAGGGUAUAGACCCGAAACCCGGUGAUCUAGCCAUGGGCAGGUUGAAGGUUGGGUAACACUAACUGGAGGACCGAACCGACUAAUGUUGAAAAAUUAGCGGAUGACUUGUGGCUGGGGGUGAAAGGCCAAUCAAACCGGGAGAUAGCUGGUUCUCCCCGAAAGCUAUUUAGGUAGCGCCUCGUGAAUUCAUCUCCGGGGGUAGAGCACUGUUUCGGCAAGGGGGUCAUCCCGACUUACCAACCCGAUGCAAACUGCGAAUACCGGAGAAUGUUAUCACGGGAGACACACGGCGGGUGCUAACGUCCGUCGUGAAGAGGGAAACAACCCAGACCGCCAGCUAAGGUCCCAAAGUCAUGGUUAAGUGGGAAACGAUGUGGGAAGGCCCAGACAGCCAGGAUGUUGGCUUAGAAGCAGCCAUCAUUUAAAGAAAGCGUAAUAGCUCACUGGUCGAGUCGGCCUGCGCGGAAGAUGUAACGGGGCUAAACCAUGCACCGAAGCUGCGGCAGCGACGCUUAUGCGUUGUUGGGUAGGGGAGCGUUCUGUAAGCCUGUGAAGGUGUGCUGUGAGGCAUGCUGGAGGUAUCAGAAGUGCGAA
rnacentral:rRNA from 1 species